rnacentral:rRNA from 1 species
CCUACGGGUGGCAGCAGUGAGGAAUAUUGGUCAAUGGGCGCGAGCCUGAACCAGCCAAGUCGCGUGAGGGAUGACGGCCCUACGGGUUGUAAACCUCUUUUGCCGGGGAGCAACGGGCGCCACGUGUGGCGCCACUGAGAGUACCCGGAGAAAAAGCAUCGGCUAACUCCGUGCCAGCAGCCGCGGUAAUACGGAGGAUGCGAGGGUUAUCCGGAUUUAUUGGGGUAAAGGGGUGCGUAGGCGGAGUGUUAAGUAAGUGGUAAAAUUUGGGGGUUAAACCCCUUCCCGCCAUUGAAACUGGCGCUCUUGAGUGGAAGAGAGGUAUGCGGAAUGCGUGGUGUAGCGGUGAAAUGCAUAGAUAUCACGCAGAACCCCGAUUGCGAAGGCAGCAUGCCGGCUUCCGACUGACGCUGAAGCACGAAAGCGUGGGGAUCGAACAGGAUUAGAUACCCUGGUAGUC